rnacentral:rRNA from 1 species
UACGUAGGGUGCGAGCGUUGUCCGGAAUUAUUGGGUGUAAAGAGCUUGUAGGCGGUCUGUCGCGUCUGCUGUGAAAAUCCAGGGCUCAACCCUGGACCUGCGUUCGAUACGGGCAGACUAGAGUUCGGUAGGGGAGACUGGAAUCCUGGUGUAGCGGUGAAAUGCGCAGAUAUCAGGAGGAACACCGGUGGCGAAGGCAGGUCUCUGGGCAUUAACUGACGCUGAGGAGCGAAAGCAUGGGGAGCGAACAGG